rnacentral:rRNA from 1 species
CUAUACCUACGGGACGCAGCAGUGGGGAAUAUUGCACAAUGGGGGAAACCCUGAUGCAGCAACGCCGCGUGGGUGAAGGAGCGUUUCGGCGCGUAAAGCCCUGUCAGCGGGGAAGAAGAAAGACGGUACCCGACCAAGAAGCCCCGGCUAACUACGUGCCAGCAGCCGCGGUAAUACGUAGGGGGCAAGCGUUAUCCGGAAUUACUGGGUGUAAAGGGAGAGUAGGCGGCAAGGUAAGCGAUAUGUGAAAGCCUUAGGCUUAACCAAAGGAUUGCAUAACGAACUAUCUAGCUAGAGUACAGGAG